GGGGAGGGCGCCCUCAGCAACGGCGCGGGCAACAGUCUCGUCGACCUUGGAGGCGGUGCGGUUGUAGACGGAGAUGGGGAAGCCUUUCUCGGCAAUGUUGAGGGCGAGGUUCUGGCCCAUGACAGCGAGGCCGGCGAGCCCGAUGCGGGAGAGGGUGGCGGCGUCCAUCGGAGCUAGGGUUAGGGUUCCGGCGAGAGGGCGGAGAGGCC
rnacentral:misc_RNA from 1 species